CAAAUGGACAGGAUAACACCU
rnacentral:miRNA from 1 species